rnacentral:tRNA from 1 species
GAGGUUGUAGCUCAAGUGGUAGAGCGCUUGCCUGGCAUGCAUAUGGUCCUGGGUUCAAUCCCCGGUACCCCCU